CAUUUACGUAGUGUUUAGCAUCGACCAGGCACUAUUCUCCUAUGUCAGUUCUUUUGGGGAUUGUCACCCCCGUUUUUCAGAUGAGAAGUCAGAGGCUCGGAUUAAGGCCCUUGCCUGAGGUCGAAGGACUGAUAGGUGGCAGAACGGGGAUUGCAGCACAGACACUCCGUCCCGCCUUGAGAAGCGUUGCUGACCGGUGGCCUCCGGUCUCCAAUCCGCUCCCUCCUGCUCUGGGACCUGCUCAGAUCCGGGCCCCUCCCCACCUCACCACCCAGAUUCUCCUCUCAAGUCACCCAUCUCCUGCACACGACCAAACCUAGUGCGCGGCUCCUUCCUCCUGGAACUCUCUGUGCCCUUGCUUCCCCGACGCCGUCCUCUUGUGGUUUUCUUCCUUUCACACCUUUUUAGUCUCUUUUACUGGUUCCCCUUUGAUUGUCCAAGAUCUAAGCGUUGGAUUGCAUGGGUCCUUCCCUGCCCAGCAGCUGGAGGGGCUGCUGACAGCCCCGUCUCCAGCCCAGCUCUCUCCUUGAGGCACGGCUCAUGCAUGCAGCUGCUCGCCUAGGGUCGUUACAGGACGGCUUAUCUUCCCGAGGCCCCUUCAGGGCGCCUCCCUUCCUGCUUCGCCAAAGAGACCGAGNCUCUUUUACUGUUUUUUUUUUUUUUUUCCAUACUGCAGUUCGGUCUGCUGGUGGAUCAUGUUGGCUCUCAAUUCCAAGGGCACUCAGUACCUGACCACUUUUCCCCCCAUCUGCCCCUGCCCGGGAGCAAGCCACCAGGUCCCUCCUGGAGAGCUCUUGGCACCUCCAGCAGUCUCCUGGCCUGCAGCGAUGCCCUGGGUGGGCAGUCGUCCAGCCAUGCUCUUCCUCAGCACAAGCAGAGCCCUCCAGGGGCCUCCAUCUCGCACAGGUCACUCCUCACCUCCUUCGAGUCUCUUGUCUGGUGCCACUUUCUCAUAAAGCCUUCCUCGACUGGCUUCUCAAAAUGUGCAGCCUGUGUCCCCCGCCCCCUUGUUUUCUUGCACCUCCUGGCCUCAUCUGACACGUGUGCAUUCAUUUGGUGGUUGUCUGUCUCCCACAUUCCCUGUAAACUGCCUGAAAUCAGCAUUUUGCCUGUCCUGCUCACAGCUGUAUCCCCAAUAUGCGCCAGUGUGUCGUAGAUGCUCAAAAAGUAUUUGAAUGCUAGGUAUGUUUAUCCCUGUUUUGCAGAUUGAGUAAUCGAAGGUCUGAGGGGUUAAGCUGCUUGCCACAGACCCCGAAGUGCGAGGAUAUGGAUUAAAAUUCAGACACGAGCUUAAUUGCUCUGUAUGCUCCUCUUUCUUUCUAUCUCUCUCCUUCCUUCCUUCUGUCUUUUUGGAGGCACUCGCAGCAUGUGGAAGUUCCCAGGCCGGGGAUCGCACCCGUGCCGCAGCAGUGACCCAGGCCCCUGCAGUGACAACACUGGAUUCUUACGCUGCUGCACCACAAGAGAACUCCUUUAUGCUCCCUUUUCUUGUUAAAAAGGACAGUAAUAGGUAAGACGCAGAUUUGCCAUGAGGAGGACGUGAAUACUGCACAGGAAAACACUUUGCGGGAAUGUUACUUAUUCAAUUUAUUGAGAACCUUAGCUUUUUGUGUCUGUUUUAUUCCACAACCCGCCUGAAAGUUCUUUUGUGUUCUCGGGUUUUUAUUUAGGAGUAGCUGACACUGUCCCACCAAACUGCAGGAGAAGCCUGCGUGUGUGUUUGUGUCUCUCUGUGGCUCUGAUCUUCCCCACAGG
rnacentral:lncRNA from 1 species